rnacentral:rRNA from 1 species
AGAUUAAGUUAUUAAGGGCGCACGGUGGAUGCCUUGGCACUAGAAGCCGAUGAAGGACGUUACUAACGACGAUAUGCUUUGGGUAGCUGUAAGUAAGCGUUGAUCCAGAGAUUUCCGAAUGGGGGAACCCAGCAUGAGUUAUGUCAUGUUAUCGACAUGUGAAUUCAUAGCAUGUCAGAAGGCAGACCCGGAGAACUGAAACAUCUUAGUACCCGGAGGAAGAGAAAGAAAAAUCGAUUCCCUGAGUAGCGGCGAGCGAAACGGGAAGAGCCCAAACCAACAAGCUUGCUUGUUGGGGUUGUAGGACACUCUAUACGGAGUUACAAAAGAACAUGUUAGACGAAUCAUCUGGAAAGAUGAAUCAAAGAAGGUAAUAAUCCUGUAGUCGAAAACAUAUUCUCUCUUGAGUGGAUCCUGAGUACGACGGAGCACGUGAAAUUCCGUCGGAAUCUGGGAGGACCAUCUCCUAAGGCUAAAUACUCUCUAGUGACCGAUAGUGAACCAGUACCGUGAGGGAAAGGUGAAAAGUACCCCGGAAGGGGAGUGAAAGAGAACUUGAAACCGUGUGCUUACAAGUAGUCAGAGCCCGUUAAUGGGUGAUGGCGUGCCUUUUGUAGAAUGAACCGGCGAGUUACGAUCUGAUGCAAGGUUAAGCAGCAAAUGUGGAGCCGCAGCGAAAGCGAGUCUGAAUAGGGCGUUGAGUAUUUGGUCGUAGACCCGAAACCAGGUGAUCUACCCUUGGUCAGGUUGAAGUUCAGGUAACACUGAAUGGAGGACC